CUGCGCACCCGUGGAAUUUAUCAGCGUCGCGCAUGCGCGUUGCUCUCCGAGAGCCGCACCCAUCCUUGAUGAUCGAGGGCGGGUGGAGAAGUGGGCGGAGCAGUGACGAGGGAGCGGGACCAACGGUUUUGGAACGCUCUCGCUCUCUCUGGUUGGGCCUGUCGGGCGCAGGCUGGGGGGGCCGUUAUCCGCCGCUAGCCGCGUGCUGCUGCUGCUGCCGUCGCCGUAACAGCCCUCUGCAGGCUGGGGUGUGCGCGUAGCGUGUGCCAGAGCGCUCAGGGUGUGUGCACGAGUGUGAGCCCUGUGUGUGCACGGGGUGUCGGUGCCGCCCGUGUGUGCAAUGGUGUGUGUUCGUGUUGGGCGUGUAUGUCAGUGGCAUGAGUGACUGUCGCUCGUCUGUGUGCAGGUGUGUGUCGGUGUUGGGUGUGUGUGUCUGUUGCAUGUAUGUGUGCAGGUGUGUGCCAGUGUCAUGCGUGUGUGCAAGCAUGCACCAGUGUCGCAAAUGUGUGUCUGUUGCAUGUGUGUGCAGGGGUCAGUUUCAUGUUUCUGUCUGUGUACUGGUGUGUGUCAGUGUCACGUGUGUGCAGAUGUGUGUCAGAGGACUAGGUGUGUGCAAAGGGUGUCUUGUGCACACACAGGUAAAGCUACCCUAUUGGGGACUAUAAGGAGGAAUGUUUCGGACCCCCCCCCCUACCCAUCAGCCACCCUCUACAACACUAAUUGCAUUAUUUCCACAAACCAAAAAAUAUCCCAACAAUGUUAACACACUGUUAAAGAAACCAUGUUAGAUAAGAUGAGUGGUAUUUGGGGCUGGGGGCAAUAUUAAACUGGGACCACCUGGAGCUUCUUGGGGCCCUAAGUCUGCUUAUGUGUGGUUUGUGUGCAGGUAUGUGUUAAAAGUUGUGCGUGUCAGAGUCCCCUGUGUGUAUGCAUGUGGGUGGAUGUGUAUGGGUAUGUGGUGAUUUGUCCGUUAGCGCAUGCAUGUGUAUGCAUUAUUAUGUGUCAGUGUGGUCUGCAUGUGAAUUUGUCAAUAUGCAUGAGAUAUUGAGCAUAUGUGUGUGCUGAUAUGCUGUCUGUGUGUGUUGGUGAGAAGAUGUGUACAGCAAUGUACCUAGGACAAUGAUUGAAUUUCAGGGUAUUGUGGGUCUCCAGGCUGGGCGUGCCUCAGUCAGAGGGGGCAUUUGUUUGUCACACUGUAUGUUUUGUCAGGAUGUGUUAGUGUGGGAACCUGUUGUGCCAGUUUGUGACUUAGCAUUUUGUGCAUCUGCAUGUGUGAAGGAAAUUGUGUAUUCAUAUGUCAUCUCAGCAUUGUGUAUCUGUGCAUAAUGUGCCAGUCAAUGUGUAUGUAUUUGUGUGUGGUAGCAUAUUGUGUGUGUGCAUUGCAAUCUGGGAAUAUGUGUCAGCACGUUGGGGACUAUGUGCAUGUCAGUUGGGAAGUAUAUGCAUGCCUGGUGCUAUGUUGUAUGUGUUAUGGGGCUAUUAAUGAUUGUGUUGUAAGAGUGUAAUUCUCCUGAUCUCUCCGUAACAGUGGCUAACAAGCAGGAAAAGACCAAAUCUGCUGAAUACCAGUUACUAAUAUUGGAAAAUGGCAGGAAAGAAGAAAGAAGUUCAACUACAGGUAGUAAUAACCAAUCAAAGUCAAUGGGAUGAAAUGUUGCUGACUAAAGGUGUAACAGUAAUAGAUGUUUAUCAGGCUUGGUGUGGGCCUUGCAAAGCGGUGGUAAAUUUAUUCAGAAAACUAAAAAAUGAGCAUGGUGAAGAUGACCUUUUGCAUUUUGCUGUGGCAGAGGCUGACAGCAUUGUGACCCUGCAGACAUUUAGAGACAAAUGUGAACCUGUUUUUCUCUUUUGUGUUGAUGGCAAAAUUAUAGCAAUGGUGCGAGGCACAAAUGCACCACUUCUCAGUAAGACAGUAAUAAAGCUAUUAGAAGAAGAGAGGAAAAUUUUAGCAGGGGAAAUAGAACGCCCUGAGGUACAAGAGCUUGUGUUUUUAGAAGAGAAAACAGCAGAAGUAUAUAGUGAAGAAAGCCAACUUGAAGAAGGAGUCAUAUACACUGUUGCAAUUAUAAAACCUGAUGCCAUUGCAGAUGGAAGAGUAGAAGAAAUUAAACAAAAGAUUACAGAAGCUGGCUUUGGCAUUGCGGCAGAAGAGGAGAAGACAUUAACUGAAGAGCAAGUUAGAGAUUUCUACAGUCGUAAUAUAGAACAGCCUGAUUUUGAAGAUUUUGUUACAUUCAUGACUGGUGGACCAUCCCAUAUUCUGAUAGUUUCUAAACCAAAGGAAGUAACUGAUACUGUUCCUCAAUGGAAAGAACUAGGUAGAUCAGAUGAGUGUAUACCUGCAAAGCCUCAGCCUGAAAAGCCAAACAGCUUGCAAGAAGUUUUGGAAUCUGAGAAUAUGUUAAAUUUAUGUGAUGUGGAAGACAGUGUAGAAGAUGCUAGCAGGCAACUUGCCUUCUUUUUCCCAGAUUUUGGUAAAAAGAAGACCAGCCAAAAUGCUGAAAAAACAUUGGCCUUAAUUAGACCUUCUCUAUUAAAGGAAAGACGAAAUUCUAUUCUGAAAAGGAUUAAGGAUGAUGGCUUUACAAUAGCAAUGCAGAGAGAAAUAGUUCUGACAGAAGAACAAGCACGUCAGUUUUACAAGGAACAUGAAAAUGAAGAUUUUUUCCCAACCCUUCUAGAACACAUGACAAGUGGUCCAACCCUUGCACUUGCUUUAAUACGAGAAAAUGCUGUACAACACUGGAGAGAUUUACUAGGCCCAAAGACUCUUGAAGAGGCUAAGGAGAAAAGUCCAGCCAGUUUACGUUCAGAGUAUGCAGUAGACAGUGUAUCUCUCAAUCAGCUGCAUGGCAGUGCUUCACCUGGUGAAGCUGAGAAGGAACUAGAAUUCUUCUUUCCUGUGGAACACACUUUGGCAGUUAUCAAACCCACUGCUGUUAAGGAACAUAAAGAUGACAUUAUGCAGAAGGUUACAAAUGCUGGCUUUAUUGUAUCACAGAUGAAAGAAACAAAUUUCACCCAUGAAAUGGCAACACAGUUUUAUAAGGCUCAUGAAGGAAAACCCUUUUUUGACCAGUUAGUGAAUUAUAUGUCUGAGGGUCCAUCAGUGAUAAUGAUCCUAACUAAAGAAAAUGCUGUGGAGGACUGGAGGCAAUUAAUGGGUCCAACAGAUCCAGACGUGGCAAAAACAUCUUCUCCUGAUUCUCUUAGAGCUCAAUUUGCACAAGAUAUUUUGCAUAAUGCAGUUCAUGGCUCAUCUAAUAAGGAACAUGCACUGAAGAGCAUUGAAUAUGUAUUUGGAGAGAUUGAUCUGAACAGUCUAAGCCACAACUGAGAUCUAUCAAUAACAGUUAAAAUAUUAAGCCCAUUACUUCUUGUCCUACUGUAAUGGGGGUCACUCACUUCUUGAACACCUGCUAGUGACUGGCUGUGGUACUGCAGUUCUUUUCUUGUCCCAAGUGCCCACGGCAGGCUGCCUGUAAACCUUGGUCCUGCAGGAGGGUGCUCACUUCCCACCUCUCAUCUCUGGCCCUCUGGAACGCAACAUCAGGCUUCUGCCCUGUGAGCCUCCCUGGCCAAGCUCGCACAUGUCACCUGAGCUGGCUGAAUGACAUCCAGUUGGUAGGCCUCCACACCAUGCCCUGAAAACAUCUGUACAUGCUCAUGCUUCAUACAAUCCAUUUCUUCAUGGUUUUGUCCCAUCCCAACACCAAGUGGUGGGACUUGUUGCAACCUGCAGAGGCUGAGGCACCCUGGUGGGCCAAUAUGUAUUCUAUUCUGAUUCCACAGCCUGCUGGGGUUAUUAGUUGAUAGCUCCUCCUUGGAGUCAUGAGCAAGGGCAUGUAGUUGGUGUGGUUCAUGAACUCUCUGAAAACUGUCCCUUUUGCAACAAGAGGGAGACCCUAGUGCACAUCUACAGAAUGUGCAUCAGGCUGCAGCCCCUCUUCUGGCUCCUCCAGAAAUUUUUACUGAGGUUCUGGCUGCAAUUUUCCCCAACCUCCUAAUUCUUACUCUCCCCAUGUAUGGCCCCACAAAGUUCUGGGACCUCCUUAUCCACCUUCUCCUGGUACUGGCCAAGAUGGCCAUCCCUCACUCCAGGAGGAGGAAGCUGGACGGGUAGGGGAGGUACUCUGCAACUAUCGGGCCUAUUUCCGUUCCCUUGUUCAAUCACAUUUCCGGGCAGAGUUCCUCUGGACAGUGUCCACUGAGUCCUUAAGACACCAUUGAGGAAUGGUGGGAGCAGUCUGGGUUUCUCUUCUCAGCAUCCCCUUCUGGUUUCCUGGUUUUCAACCUUUGACCUCAUUCCUGUUCCUGUUUUUUCCUUUGUUGUCCCUAGUACUUAACUGCAGCCUGGGCUUAGUGGUUGAGGGGGGAGACCUUUACUCUUGGGUGGGCCUAGACCUGCCUGUCUCAGUUCUGCAAAUAGUAUGCAUGGCUCAAUUUCAGUUUGUUACUGUUUCUUCCCUGAGUCUCUUCCUACCUGGCUCCUUUUAACUUCACCCCUAGAUAAGGGUUAAGACUCUUAGAUCCUCUGUCCCUGACAACCCAUCUUAAGCAAAUGGAGACAGAAAAAUAAACUCUGGCUACCCCUCAAGCCCCUGUGGCCAGAGAGGACCACCCUUCCUUGCCCUUUGUCCCAGCCAGGAAUUGACCUGCUAAGGCCCUGCAGCUUCUUUUAUCUGAUUCUGCUUGGCUCUGAUGGGUUGGUUCCAUGAGAUCUCUGUAGGCAGGCCAGAAGGACACACUUUCACUGCUCCUUUCCUGUUACUUCACUGUUUCCUGGGGCAGGAUAUAGUAGGAUUAUGGGACCUCCUGUAGGGAGAUGCUGAGGAUAGGUACAUCCCUCAUAACUGCCUUCAGUGGAUAUGGACAACAGCUGAUCACAGUCAGCUUGUAACUUUCUGAAAUGUACCCAUUUGAGUCUGAAAAUUUCAAUUUGAUAUUUACCAAAGGUGAUUUCUUUCACUGAAUGCAUGUUUUGUGUCCAUUGAUAGAGCAGUUAUACUGCGAUUGUGAUCUGUCAUUUGAGCUUGAUGAAUAACAUAAACAAUGUUUCCAGUGUAGUUUAGUGUAAGUCUCCUUUUUGUGAGCCUCAUUUGAUCUCUAUGAGAAAAGGCCAUUAAGUCUAGUGUCUAAUAUCUUUAGUCAGAUCUUGCAUUCAACAACAAUAUAAGAAAAAUAAAAUAAAACAAUUGUCUCCAUUAGAAGAUUUUAUUAAGAAGUUUAGUAGUAUAGGACAUCUUGCAAAUAAAUGUAUGAAAAUUC